rnacentral:rRNA from 1 species
GACGAACGCUGGCGGCGUGCUUAACACAUGCAAGUCGAGCGCUGAAGCUUCUUCGGGGGUGGAUGAGCGGCGAACGGGUGAGUAACACGUGGGUGACCUGCCCUCAGCUUUGGGAUAAGCCUGGGAAACUGGGUCUAAUACCGGGUAUGACCUUCUCUCGCAUGGGGUUGGUGGAAAGUCUGUGCUGUGGCGGCUUUAGGGCUGUGAUGGUGUGGGCGGCUGGGGAUGGGCCCGCGGCCUA